rnacentral:ncRNA from 1 species
GUCUUCAGGGCAGGGUGUAAUUCCCGACCGGCGGUAAAGUCCGCGAGCACUGCACCAUUUUUGGGCGCAGGCCGACUCGGUUAAAUUCCGAGACCGACAGUAUAGUCUGGAUGGAAGAAGGCG